rnacentral:rRNA from 1 species
GACGAACGCUGGCGGCGUGCCUAAUACAUGCAAGUCGAGCGCAGGAAAUCGACGGAACCCUUCGGGGGGAAGUCGACGGAAUGAGCGGCGGACGGGUGAGUAACACGUAAAGAACCUGCCCUCAGGUCUGGGAUAACCACGAGAAAUCGGGGCUAAUACCGGAUGGGUCAUCGGACCGCAUGGUCCGAGGAUGAAAGGCGCUUCGGCGUCGCCUGGGGAUGGCUUUGCGGUGCAUUAGCUAGUUGGUGGGGUAAUGGCCCACCAAGGCGACGAUGCAUAGCCGACCUGAGAGGGUGAUAGGCCACACUGGGACUGAGACACGGCCCAGACUCCUACGGGAGGCAGCAGUAGGGAAUCUUCCACAAUGGACGAAAGUCUGAUGGAGCAACGCCGCGUGAACGAUGAAGGCCUUCGGGUCGUAAAGUUCUGUUGUAAGGGAAGAACAAGUGCCGCAGGCAAUGGCGGCACCUUGACGGUACCUUGCGAGAAAGCCACGGCCAACUACGUGCCAGCCGCCGCGGUAA